AAUAACAAUGGACGGGAAGGGGAGAGUCGCAUUUUCAAACUUGAAAUCCAGUCGCUAUUUUGAGUUCGUGUCAGCUAAAGAAAAUAUUAAGGAGGAAAGAAGGUGACCUCUAGUAUGAGUGUACGAUGGGAAAUUCCCCUCAGUUUGUAGGAAAAUGGUGACGUAGGCUGCAUUUAUUUUCACAUUGUAAUUGUGCACCGAAUAGUCCGUUGAUGUAUACGCUUCUUCUUAAGGCCAUCUUAGUGCACUGGUAAAAAUACUUGUUACUUGUGAGGCAAAACUGCACUAGUUGACAACUGUACCAUCUGGCACGUCACUAGUAGUAGUAUCUGUGCACGUCAACAAGUGCAGAAGUCAAAUGAAGGCACGAGGCCUUUGCUGUACUUUCCAAGCAUGUGUGUUCUCUCGCACUUCUAUUAGUGGCCACAGACGGUUGAUCAGAAGGAGAUCCGGGCUGUGAAUGCACGGUUACGUAAGCGUCCCUCCGUAACCUGAACGUGCUGGGCCUGCUGCACCGGCCACGCCAGAAUGGCGUCACUCAGCCGCUCGUACAACAAGAGAAUCCAACACAUUUUCCACAGGAAAAAAAAAACUUUAUUAAUACACUUAUAUAAUGUAUAUCAACAUUUAUAGACAAAAUAUGUACAAACAGCAAACAUCUUUCACGUAGGUCCCAAAAUAUAAAAUCUCAAGUACCUCUCUCUAUUAGAAAACUAGUCAUCUGUUUAAACGUUUACAUUCACUUCUUUUCCCCUCGCCGCCACGUUCUGGGAUUCAAAUGAGUUACAGAGCAUAAACAUCUGAGAGUUCUCAGCUUUUCACAAGUAAAAAGGCAA